GGCGGAGUAGCUCAGCCAGGUAGAGCAAGCGGCUCAUAAUCGCUGUGUCGUGGGUUCAAGUCCCGCCUCCGCUACCG
rnacentral:tRNA from 1 species